CAGUACUGUGUGCUGGGUGGCCAAGUGAGAAAGUAGAUGGAAUUUCAAACAAGGAUUUAAUGGCAUCCUGGGAGCUGCCACCAACCGUCCUUCAACCAAGGAGAAGCAUACCAAGGUGGUAUGUAUCAGACACUGAUUUAUGAAAGGAAACCAACCGCGUUCCCAUAGGGUACAUCUACUGUCAGUGCUGACCCAUAUUUUACAGAUGAUGGUUCUCCAGACGACAAAAUGCAGUUCCCAGUCACCUUCAGUCACAGAGUGGAUUCAAAGCCAGCCCAGACUACGGGAGACCCCGUCUUAAACAAGUUUCACAAUGUACGGCAGGAUGGCCUAGAAUAUGAAAUUCCAGAUACUUUUGCCCCAUGCUCCUGGGUCCUGGGAUCACAGGCAUAGACCACCACACACAGCAGUUCACAUACUUUUGAAGGUAAUUUUCAUUGGAUAUAGUUAGUGGACUGAGUUUUCCAACAUUUGGAAGAUCUCGUUCUCUUAUUUUAUGACUUCCAUUGUUUCUGUUAUGUAUCUGUUGUCAGUCAUGCUAUGGCUCUACUGGGGCUG
rnacentral:sRNA from 1 species